rnacentral:SRP_RNA from 1 species
GGACUAGGUCGGGCGGUUAGGCCCCGCUCUCCACCCGUGAGGUAGUCUUCAGCGGGGACCGAACACCGGGCGCGUCCGGAUAGACCGGCGCGGGCCCCGAGAGCCAACGUGGAAGCCUCGUCCGCCGGGGACAGCGGUCCGCGAUGCCCGCUCGCAGGAGCGGUCCGUCGCGGUUCGCCGGCGACAACGGGUCAGGCGCGGAAGCGAGCAGCCCACCGCCGGACGCCCGUCGCUCGUCGGGUCGCGGGGUGGAGGAGGCAACCGGGAUACCCCGUGCCGGAACACCGGGCUACCCCGGCCGUCC